rnacentral:rRNA from 1 species
UGGCCGCAGUAUUUUGACUGUGCAAAGGUAGCAUAAUCAUUAGUCUUUUAAUUGAAGGCUUGUAUGAAUGGUUGGACGAAGUAUUAACUGUUUCAUAUAAAUUUAUAAUAAAAUUUUAUAUUUUAGUAAAAAAGCUAAAAUUUAAUUAAAAGACGAGAAGACCCUAUAAAUCUUUAUAUUUAAAUUUAAUUUAAUUUUUUAAAUUAAAUUGAUUAAAUUGAAUUUAAAUAUUUUAUUGGGGUGAUAUUAAAAUUUAUAAAACUUUUAAUUUUAAUUUUUCAUUAAUUUAUGUUUUAUUGAUCCAUUAAUAAUGAUUAUAAGAAUAAGUUACUUUAGGGAUAACAGCGUAAUUUUUUUGGAGAGUUCUUAUUAAUAAAAAAGUUUGCGACCUCGAUGUUGGAUUAAGAGAUAAUUUUAGGUGUAGAAGCUUAAAAAUUAAGUCUGUUCGACUUUUAAAUUCUUACAUGAUCUGAGUUCAGACCGGCGUAAGCCAGGUUGGUUUCUAUCUUUAAUAAUUUAUAAUAUUUUAGUACGAAAGGACCAAAUAUUAGAUUUAUUAUAAUUUAUUUAUAUUGAAAAUAAUUAAAUU